rnacentral:rRNA from 1 species
UACGUAGGGUGCGAGCGUUAAUCGGAAUUACUGGGCGUAAAGCGUGCGCAGGCGGUUCGUGAUGUCUGGUGUGAAAGCCCCGGGCUUAACCUGGGAAUUGCAUUGGAAACUAGCGGGCUGGAGUGUGGCAGAGGGGGGUGGAAUUCCACGUGUAGCAGUGAAAUGCGUAGAGAUCGGGAGGAACACCCGUGGCGAAGGCGGCCAACUGGGCCGGACCUGGACGCUGAGGCGCGAAGGCGUGGGGAGCGAACGGGAUCAGAUACCGUAG